GAACAUUUUCGUUGCAAAUUCAAAAAUCGUCUGGCGUUAUCCACGAGACUUUCGAUAUGAAGCAGGAUCAGCCCAACCAUUAUUUUUACAGAGCAGUAUUAGCAGCCUCUUGCAUAGUUUCGGUCGUUAUUGCGCGGAAACCUUCAGUGUGUGACCAAAAAGGUUAUGGGUGCGUGUAUCACACAAACUGCCCGAAGACGCUUUACCUACCCUAUCCUGGUUGCUCUGGUUUUAAAUCCUGCUGCAAAAUAGAUAAGCUGAAAAAGUGCUACUACAAGGGAGGUUUCUGCAAGGCAAAUUGUGAUGGAGAUGUGAACGAAUACGGGCAGUGUUCCCGGGGGAAGAAGUGCUGCUUACCAUGACAGCUCUACCGCGCCGACUUUUGAUUCGCGGUUCUUGUGUUGCCUACAUAUUCAGUAUAACUAAAUGUGAACCUUGCCUUUCAUAUGAGCACUAACUUUCCUGCGCACCCUUGAGAUCAUACAUAUGACACCGUACUUAAAACCGAUGUAUAUUUGAAAAAAAAAAAGAUGUUCGCACACAAUUUCUUUUGCUACUGUCAUUAAACUACCUCGU